CUUUAGUUGCAAUAAAUAUAAAAAAAAACUAAGCUGAGAAAAGCUAACACAUGAAUAAUUCACUCACUAUAAAUAAACUACAAAGUCAUUUUAAGUUUAGUAUUCGUUGUUGGAACAACAAAAAGUUCAUCUAAAGUAUCUUCUUUAAUAUCUGCGUCACAAAAAAAUUAAGAUGUCAAAAAUAAUCCUAUUAUUAUCAAUUUUCUUGCUGGUAGGCCUGCAUAGUGCUGCAGUUGACGGAUGUGUUGGCAAAUGGUGUCACCCUUCAUGGGGUUAUGAAUGUUGCGAGGAUCAUGUCUGCAGUAACUACUUUUGGCAAGGUAAAUGCAUUACUAUGAUUGAUUGGAUAAAAAUAGGAUAGUAACGAAUACAAAUAAUUUGUUAUGAUAAUUAUCAAGACAAAAAUGAUGUUAGGAUUUCGCAUUAUUGCUUUAUGUAAUCAUUAAUAAAUGUCUCUAUAAUAUUGACUA